CUCAACAAACCCGGGAGGGUGGCUCUUGCGCAAUCCGUUCUCACGGCCAUGGCAACCUUCCACAUCACCGCCCUUAACCUGUCAAAGGGGACCCUGCGAAAGAUUGGCAAAAUCAUUCGGGCCUUCGUCUGGCAGAAAGAGGACCAAACUCAGACAUCGGGUGGCCACUCGUUUGUUAACUGGAAGACUGUCUGCCGCCCCAGGCAUUUGGGCGGCUUGGGAAUCAUGGACCUAGAGAGAUUCGGCCGCGCCCUACGUCUACGGUGGCCGUGGCUGCAAUGGACUGACCCAGAGAGGCCAUGGGUGGGAUCCGAGUUACCAUGUGACCAAGGAGACAUGAACCUCUUUCGCGCAUGCACCUUGAUUACGCUGGGCAAUGGGCAAAAGGCCCUCUUCUGGCAGGACAACUGGACCGGAAGCGCCCCCCUCAGGCUUGUGGCUCUAGAGCUUUACAAGAUCACCUCCAGAAAGAACAGAUCGGUGCACAAAGAACUCACGAACGAGAACUGGAUAAAGGCGGUCGCCAAACUUUAG
rnacentral:rRNA from 1 species